UACGUAGGGUGCGAGCGUUGUCCGGAAUUAUUGGGCGUAAAGAGCUUGUAGGCGGUUUGUCGCGUCUGCCUGUGAAAAUCCGGGGCUCAACCCGGACUUGCAGUGGGUACGGCAGACUGGAGUGUGGUAGGGAGACGUGGAAUUCCUGGUGUAGCGGUGGAAUGCGCAGAUAUCAGGAAGAACACCCGUGGCGAAGGCGGUCUCUGGGACGGUACUGACGCUGAGACGCGAAAGCGUGGGGAGCGAACAGG
rnacentral:rRNA from 1 species